rnacentral:rRNA from 1 species
UUCCAGUACACUAACUAUGUUACGACUUACCUCCUCUUUAGAAGAGGGUGACGGGCGAUAUGUACACCUAUUAAUCAUAUUCAUAAUGAAAUUUUAAUUUAAGAUUACGUUCAAAUCUUAAUUCAGGUUAUCUUUAGAAAGAAAUUUUUAAAUAAUUUUUAUAAAUAACUUAUUCAAUCUUUUGUAUGUUCUUCACCUUGACCUGACUUUUUAAAUAAAUAUUAAGAGUAGGGGUAAAAAAUUAUUCUUAAGACGGCGGUAUAAAAGAAGUUAAAUAAAAGAAAAAUUUAGCGGGUAUUAUCGAUUCAAGAACAAGUUCCUCUGAUUAGAGAAAAGGCCGCCAAGAAAUAU